UUGUUCUCUUCUAAAUAGGCUUUAAGUAGAAGAGGGUAUACUCGAACAAUUGAUGAUAUGAUUAAACAAAAUGAAGGUAUAAAAAUAACUAGGGUCCAUAUAUUUCAAAAAGCCCAUACUAAAAAGAAUGGUUAGCCAAUCAACUCAAUAGCUUCUGAAAAAUUGGGACAACUAGAUGACAUUAUACGUGAAAAUCCAAAUUCUCAAACUACAAAUAAUAUUGACGAGGAUGCACUAACAAUGUUGUUUGGUAUACCAAAAUCUGGUCGUCACAUUGGCCAAGGAAGAGGGAUAUCAAAAUCAAAAGUAGCUGUUGUUAACAUGUUCCAAGAUAAAAUUGAAGCUUAUAAUAAAGAACUAGGUAGCAUGAAGAAGCAAAUUGCUGAGUUAUUCAAGUUGUUAAAGCCUUGAAGCUCUUCUUGCAAUCAUCUUGACAAUAAUGUAGUCCAUAGAAAGAAUAGUAAAUUUUCUAAUGUGAAUAAUGCUUGCAACUUACUUUACUGGAAGGAUGAAAUAGUUGCUGGGUCAUUGGUGUUCUAGCGAUCCGAACAUAGAAGUUCAUGGGAUUACUCUUGGAUCUGAAUUCAUGCAAGUGUGGGUUGACAAAGACAAAGUUAUCUCACCAAGUGCCUAUUUUUUUCGUCCUAGCCACCCGAUGAUUACUAUACAAGAAGCUGUCGGCUCUUUUGUUGUAUGUCCAUCAGAGAAGGUUGUUCCAAGAUGUUAAGGUAUAAUACCUACAAUUCAAUAAAUCAUCUCAUCACAGAUAAUUAACCAGUUGGCAAAUCAUGGAAUGAGUUUGAUCUUGUUAGUGGCUAACAAAUCGUUGAGCUCUUCGUCUUAUUGAUUCUCUUUUGCCUAACGACGCCAGUGAAAUCAGCCGCCAUUAAGUUUUUCUUCUUGAAUUAUUCGCUUACAUACACUUUCUUUUUAAGUCUUCUGUUUCUAUUGGUACCCCAUACCAUUAGUGUUUUUAACUUCAUGUUAAUUUUAUUUAAUUGUUAGAUGACUUUUGGUACUUGAUGAUACAACUUUAAUGGAAUUAACUAAGGUUGGGGAUGCU